ensembl:lncRNA
UAUGAACAGGACUGUCUGUUGAUCAGCCAACGUGAUGAAGAUGAGGAACUGUUCUCGUCUUCAUGAUAAUCACAGUCUAUAAGUCAUGUCAGGUCUUUAUUUCUAUGACAUAUCAAAUCAAAUUAUAUUCAAAGUCAAACUGUAUGAUGGAUUUUUGACAAAUAUUUUUUCUGAUAAUAAUUCUAUAAAAGUUUGGUUUAAAAGGGAUAGCUUGGUGUAGCUUCAUAAAAAGGGAAAAUUACUUUUCAUGUUUUAGAUUUGUAUUGUAAGUUUUUAGUUUGUUUCUGAUUGGCCAAAAGGAGAGCACAGGGAUUCUUAAUUGGCUGAAUGAUCAGAUCCAAAUCUCCAUGUUUUGAGUCACACCCUCCUAACCUAUCAGAAUAGAGAGAGAGAGAUCCCUGACCUAUCAGAAGAAAGCGAGAGAGAGAGAGAGACAUCCCUGACCUAUCAGAAGAGAGAGAGCGAGACAUCCCUGACCUAUCAGAAGAGAGAGAGCGAGACAUCCCUGACCUAUCAGAAGAGAGAGAGAGACAUCCCUGACCUAUCAGAAGAGAGAGAGACAAAGAUCCCUGACCUAUCAGAAGCGAGAGACAGUAGAGAGAGAUCCCUGACCUAUCAGAAGAGAGACAGAGAGAGACAUCCCUGACCUAUCAGAAGAGGGAGAGAGACAGAGAAGAUCCCUGACCUAUCAGAAUCAGAAAGUGUCUUUGUGCUGUGGAUAUCACAGUUGUAACUGAGUGUAAAGGAGUCUUGUAACAUCCAGAAUCUACAGAGCGAUGGGUUAGCAUUCUGCUCAUUGGUAGCUGUAAUAUUCAGGUUAGCAUUCUGCUCAUUGGUAGCUGUAAUAUUCAGGUUAGCAUUCUGCUCAUUGGUAGCUGUAAUAUUCAGGUUAGCAUUCUGCUCAUUGGUAGCUGUAAUAUUCAGGUUAGCAUUCUGCUCAUUGGUAGCUGUAAUAUUCAGGUUAGCAUUCUGCUCAUUGGUAGCUGUAAUAUUCAGGUUAGCAUGCCGUUUUUCUUCUUCUUUACCCAAUCUCCCCUCUUCCGUAUCGAUUCCUCCCUCCAGAUCAUUAUCUCCGGUAUAAAAAGCCUGCGUUAUUUUUGUAGAGUAUUUAUUAAGCUGUAGAUUUAUGUCCCAAAAUGUUGGGUGUCCAUGAUCGUUGUCGUUGAUUGGUUUCUGACUAGAUGCUAACUUGAGAUGGGACCCGCACUCAAACGAAAUCAUCACGAUUGGCUUAAAUCGUUCAUUGAUUGAUAUUGAUCAGAGAUUUUUCAGCCAAAAACUUGGAUUGAGCCGCUCAUCUCAAGUUAGGAUUCGGCCCAAAAGGAAAACAAGAAUAGGAAAUGUGUGAAUACAGCUGUACGGGAAAAAAGAUUGUGAUAUAAAUGUUUAAAUAAAAAAUGUUUAAAUAAAAAAC